AUUGAACGCUGGCGGCAUGCUUUACACAUGCAAGUCGAACGGCAGCGCGGGCUUCGGCCUGGCGGCGAGUGGCGAACGGGUGGGUAAUUCAUCGGAACGUGCCCAUUAGUGGGGGAUAGCCCGGCGAAAGCCGGAUUAAUACCGCAUACGACCUGAGGGUGAAAGCGUGGGACCGAAAGGCCUCGCGCUCUUGGGGCGGCCGAUGUCGGAUUAGCUAGUUGGUGGGGUAAAGGCUUACCAAGGCGACGAUCCGUAGCUGGUCUGAGAGGACGACCAGCCACACUGGGACUGAGACACGGCCCAGACUCCUACGGGAGGCAGCAGUGGGGAAUUUUGGACAAUGGGGGCAAGCCUGAUCCAGCCAUGCCGCGUGCGGGAAGAAGGCCUUCGGGUUGUAAAGCGCUUUUGUUCGGGAAGAAAUCCUCUGGGCUAAUACCCCGGGGGGAUGACGGUACCGGAAGAAUAAGCACCGGCUAACUACGUG
rnacentral:rRNA from 1 species